rnacentral:lncRNA from 1 species
GGGGUCACCCCUUCUAAGGCUGUAUCGCUCCCUCCCUUUUGCUAUUAACUAUUUGUCAACGCCGAUGGUACUCGGAAAUCCAGCACCACUCGUCCUCCGAACUACUCACUGCCUGGGGUCCUCAGCCACCUUGUCAUACACGGUAACAGCUAACACGGGCAAGUGGUACUGCACACCCGGCACUGUGCCCAUCACCUGUCCAGGCCGGCUCCUUCACUCCCCAGCACAGCCCUGUGCGCGAGCCAGGUACAGAGGAUGACAAGGUCCCGGAGGAUGGGGGAGCCACAGGAAGGGGGAGCCUGGGUCCCUGCAUCACUGCAUGGAGAGUCGUCUACCGACCAGGAACACCCACUGGGACUAUUCACGAGUGAGAAAUAAAUUUCUAUGGUGUCUGAGC